CCUACGAGGCGCAGCAGUGAGGAAUAUUGGUCAAUGGGCGCGAGACUGAACCAGCCAAGUCGCGUGAGGGAAGACGGCCCUACGGGUUGUAAACCUCUUUUGCCGGGGAGCAACGGGCGCCACGUGUGGCGCCACUGAGAGUACCCGGAGAAAAAGCAUCGGCUAAAUCCGUGCCAGCAGCCGCGUUAAUACGGAGGAUGCGAGGGUUAUCCGGAUUUAUUGGGUUUAAAGGAUGCGUAGGCGGAUUGAAAAGCUAGAGGUGAAAUGUCCGGGCUUAACGCGGGAACUGCCUCUAAUACUGUUGAUCUAGAGAGUAGAUGCGGUAGGCGGAAUGUAUGGUGUAGCGGUGAAAUGCUUAGAGAUCAUACAGAACACCGAUUGCGAAGGCAGCUUACCAAUCUAUAUCUGACGUUGAGGCACGAAAGCGUGGGGAGCAAACAGGAUUAGAUACCCCGGUAGUC
rnacentral:rRNA from 1 species